AGUUAUUUUCACUGCAGUUUCAUUCACGAAGCACCUAAUGAAGUUAUUUCUAGAUUACACUGGGGAGGAGAAGUUGGAAAUCGUAGCUUCACCUAACUUCUUCCGCAGACCCACGUUUGUCAAACGAUUUUAAAAAUAACUUUAGUUUUACAAGAAAAAGCUGCUCCACCAGUAAAACUGCUUCAGACUUUAGAAGAAGCUCAACCUACACCAAACAAACCUUAAACUGUCGCCUACCGAGAUAACUGCAACCCCCUCCCCCUCUUUGUUGUCGCUUGUCGGUUCCAAUCGAGAAAGGACAUGGGAUGGCCUGUGCUGCUGGCACGGCAACAGUAAUAGCUGUUCGGAUCUUGACCAACUGCUCACCCGACGCUGCUUAAGUAGGAACACAUCGGAACUCUGGCGCUCUCAAGCUGCCUUUGCUUGUGCCGAGCUCGAGCUAAGUGAGGUAAAGCUCAGCC
rnacentral:lncRNA from 1 species